rnacentral:rRNA from 1 species
AUUGAACGCUGGCGGCAGGAUUAACACAUGCAAGUCCAGCGAGCGGAGUACGGGUGAGUAUUGUAUGGGAAAUUGCCUGAUGGCGGGGGAUAACUACUGGAAACGGUAGCUCAUAUCGCAUACCACCAGAUGUGCCCAGCUGGGAUUAGCUAGUAGGUAGGGUAAUGGCUCACCUAGGCGACGAUCCCGAGCUGGUCCGAGAGGAUGACCAGCCUCACGGUAACUGAGACGCGGUCCAGACGCCUACGGGAGUCAGCAGUGGGGAAAAUUGCACAAUGGGCGCGAGCCUGAUGAAGCCAUGCCGCGUGUGUGAAGGAGGCCUGCGGGUUGUAAAGCACGUUCAGCUAGGAGGCGUUACUCGCAGAAGAAGCACAGGCUAACUCCGUGCCAGCCGCCGCGGUAAUUC